AGUAACUUUGUUAAAUUAUACAUAUUUCAUCAUAUUUACCUUAAUUUAGUUAUCAAAAAGAAAAUAUGAUAUAAU
rnacentral:sRNA from 20 species